GGUUACCCCUCAGUAACGGCGAGUGAAGCGGUAACAGCUCAAAUUUGAAAUCUGCCGCAAGGCCGAGUUGUAAUUUGUAGAAGAUGCUUUGGGUAUGGCCCCGGUCUAAGUUCGUUGGAACACGACGUCAUAGAGGGUGAGAAUCCCGUAUGUGACUGGGUGCUUUUGCCUAUGUAAAGCUCUUUCGACGAGUCGAGUUGUUUGGGAAUGCAGCUCAAAAUGGGUGGUAUAUUUCAUCUAAAGCUAAAUAUUGGCCAGAGACCGAUAGCGCACAAGUAGAGUGAUCGAAAGAUGAAAAGCACUUUGGAAAGAGAGUUAAACAGUACGUGAAAUUGUUGAAAGGGAAGCGCUUGCAACCAGACUUGCACGCUGUUGAUCAUCCAGGCUUCUGUUUGGUGCACUCGGCAGCGUUCAGGCCAGCAUCGGUUUUGGUGGUGGGAUAAAGGCCUUGGGAAUGUAGCUUCUUUCGGGGAGUGUUAUAGCCCUCGGUGCAAUGCCGCCUACCGGACCGAGGACCGCGCUUCGGCUAGGAUGCUGGCGUAAUGGUUGUAAGCGACCCGUCUUGAAACACGGACCAAGGAGUCUAACAUCUAUGCGAGUGUUUGGGUGUCAAACCCAUACGCGUAAUUAACGUGAACGGAGGUGAGAACCCUUAAGGUGCAUCAUCGACCGAUCCUGAUGUCUUCGGAUGGAUUUGAGUAAGAGCAUAGCUGUUGGGACCCGAAAGAUGGUGAACUAUGCCUGAAUAGGUGAAGCCAGAGGAAACUCUGGUGGAGGCUCCCAGCGGUCUGACGUGCAAUCGAUCGCCAAAUUUGGGUAUAGGGGCGAAAAACUAAUCGAACCUCUA
rnacentral:rRNA from 1 species